CAAAACAGAAAAACAGUCAAAGCACAGUCUCCUUGGUAGAGUUAUCUCACCAUAUAGGUAUGUUCUUCCAUCUAAAUUUCAAAGGUGAAGUCAAGAGAAGAGAACAGUUAUGUCACUUAUGCAGAAGACCCUUCAAAAAAAAGUCUUCACUGGCACUGCUAGAAAUACCCACAACUUCAUUCUGAUCACAUAUAGGUCUCUGCAUCACCUUCCUCAUACAUAAAUGGGCAGAUGGAUUCCUGAUUGUUUUCCUGUGGUCACCAAUGCAUCUGAGGGACCCAUCUGAGUGACAGCUAAGGUUAACUGUCUGGACAGCUGUGAGUCAAGCCUUCAAGACACGCUGCUUUAUCUGAUUGGUCUCAGUCUUGAUCUGGAACAUGAAAGAAAAUGUGAGGAAGUUUCAAGCAGAGAUAAUUUUGCAAGUCCA